AGCAGCCGCGGUAAUUCCAGCUCCAAUAGCGUAUAUUAAAGUUGUUGCAGUUAAAAAGCUCGUAGUUGAAUUUCGGGGUCAGUAGGUUGGUCGUGCCACCGGUACGUACUGGUCUCACUGAUUCCUCCUUCCUGAAGAACCGUAAUGCCAUUAAUUUGGUGUUGCGGGGAAACAGGACUGUUACUUUGAAAAAAUUAGAGUGUUUAAAGCAGGCUAACGCUUGAAUACAUUAGCAUGGAAUAAUGAAAUAGGACGAUCGAUCCUAUUUUGUUGGUUUCUAGGAUUGACGUAAUGAUUAAUAGGGAUAGUUGGGGGCAUUAGUAUUCAAUUGUCAGAGGUGAAAUUCUUGGAUUUAUUGAAGACUAACUACUGCGAAAGCAUUUGCCAAGGAUGUUUUCAUUAAUCAAGAACGAAAGUUAGGGGAUCGAAGACGAUCAGAUACCGUCGUAGUCUUAACCAUAAACUAUAGCCGACUAGGGAUCGGAUGAUGUUAAUUUUAUAAUGACUCAUUCGGCGCCUU
rnacentral:rRNA from 1 species